rnacentral:rRNA from 1 species
AGAGUUUGAUCCUGGCUCAGGACGAACGCUGGCGGCGUGCUUAACACAUGCAAGUCGAACGGAGCACCCCUGAAUGAGGUUUCGGCCAAAGGAAGGGAAUGCUUAGUGGCGGACUGGUGAGUAACGCGUGAGGAACCUGCCUUUCAGAGGGGGACAACAGUUGGAAACGACUGCUAAUACCGCAUGACGCAUUUUGAUCGCAUGGUCGAAAUGCCAAAGAUUUAUCGCUGAAAGAUGGCCUCGCGUCUGAUUAGAUAGUUGGCGGGGUAACGGCCCACCAAGUCGACGAUCAGUAGCCGGACUGAGAGGUUGACCGGCCACAUUGGGACUGAGAUACGGCCCAGACUCCUACGGGAGGCAGCAGUGGGGAAUAUUGCACAAUGGGCGCAAGCCUGAUGCAGCGACGCCGCGUGCGGGAUGACGGCCUUCGGGUUGUAAACCGCUUUUGAUCGGGAGCAAGCCUUCGGGUGAGUGUACCUUUCGAAUAAGCACCGGCUAACUACGUGCCAGCAGCCGCGGUAAUACGUAGGGUGCAAGCGUUAUCCGGAAUUAUUGGGCGUAAAGGGCUCGUAGGCGGUUCGUCGCGUCCGGUGUGAAAGUCCAUCGCUUAACGGUGGAUCUGCGCCGGGUACGGGCGGGCUGGAGUGCGGUAGGGGAGACUGGAAUUCCCGGUGUAACGGUGGAAUGUGUAGAUAUCGGGAAGAACACCAAUGGCGAAGGCAGGUCUCUGGGCCGUUACUGACGCUGAGGAGCGAAAGCGUGGGGAGCGAACAGGAUUAGAUACCCUGGUAGUCCACGCCGUAAACGGUGGAUGCUGGAUGUGGGGCCCGUUCCACGGGUUCCGUGUCGGAGCUAACGCGUUAAGCAUCCCGCCUGGGGAGUACGGCCGCAAGGCUAAAACUCAAAGAAAUUGACGGGGGCCCGCACAAGCGGCGGAGCAUGCGGAUUAAUUCGAUGCAACGCGAAGAACCUUACCUGGGCUUGACAUGUUCCCGACAGCCGUAGAGAUAUGGCCUCCCUUCGGGGCGGGUUCACAGGUGGUGCAUGGUCGUCGUCAGCUCGUGUCGUGAGAUGUUGGGUUAAGUCCCGCAACGAGCGCAACCCUCGCCCUGUGUUGCCAGCACGUCAUGGUGGGAACUCACGGGGGACCGCCGGGGUCAACUCGGAGGAAGGUGGGGAUGACGUCAGAUCAUCAUGCCCCUUACGUCCAGGGCUUCACGCAUGCUACAAUGGCCGGUACAACGGGAUGCGACACGGCGACGUGGAGCGGAUCCCUGAAAACCGGUCUCAGUUCGGAUUGGAGUCUGCAACCCGACUCCAUGAAGGCGGAGUCGCUAGUAAUCGCGGAUCAGCAACGCCGCGGUGAAUGCGUUCCCGGGCCUUGUACACACCGCCCGUCAAGUCAUGAAAGUGGGUAGCACCCGAAGCCGGUGGCCUAACCCUUUGUGGAUGGAGCCGUCUAAGGUGAGACUCGUGAUUGGGACUAAGUCGUAACAAGGUAGCCGUACCGGAAGGUGCGGCUG